rnacentral:rRNA from 1 species
UUUGACCUCAAAUCAGGUAGGACUACCCGCUGAACUUAAGCAUAUCAAUAAGCGGAGGAAAAGAAACUAACAAGGAUUCCCCUAGUAACGGCGAGUGAAGAGGGAAGAGCUCAAAUUUGAAAUCUGGCAGUCUCCGGCUGUCCGAGUUGUAAUCUAGAGAAGUGUUUUCUGUGCUGGACCGUGUACAAGUCCUUUGGAACAAGGCGUCAUAGAGGGUGAGAAUCCCGUCUACGACACGGACUGCCAGUGCUCUGUGAUACACUCUCAACGAGUCGAGUUGUUUGGGAAUGCAGCUCAAAAUGGGUGGUAAAUUCCAUCUAAAGCUAAAUAUUGGCGAAAGACCGAUAGCGAACAAGUACCGUGAGGGAAAGAUGAAAAGCACUUUGGAAAGAGAGUUAAACAGUACGUGAAAUUGUUGAAAGGGAAACGCUUGAAGUCAGUCGCGUCUUCAGAAAUUCAGCCUGGUUUUCAGCCUGGUGUACUUUUCUGUUGGACGGGCCAGCAUCAGUUUUGGCCGCCAGAAAAAGGUGAGAGGAAGGUAGCACUCUCUGGGGUGUGUUAUAGCCUCUCAUCGUAUGUGGCGGCUAGGACUGAGGACCGCAGCACGCCUUCAAUGGCCGGGGUUCGCCCACGCAACGUGCUUAGGAUGCUGGCGUAAUGGCUUUAAACGACCCGUCUUGAAACACGGACCAAGGAGUCUAACAUGCCUGCGAGUAUUUGGGUGGCAAACCCAUAUGCGGAAUGAAAGUGAACAGUUGGGACUUCUGUCAUGGAAGGCACCGACGCCCGGACCAGAUCUAUUGUGACGGAUCCGAGGUAGAGCAUGUAUGUUGGGACCCGAAAGAUGGUGAACUAUGCCUGAGUAGGGUGAAGCCAGAGGAAACUCUGGUGGAGGCUCGUAGCGAUUCUGACGUGCAAAUCGAUCGUCGAACUUGGGUAUAGGGGCGAAAGACUAAUCGAAC